rnacentral:lncRNA from 1 species
AUGGCUCUGAACUCACAAUGUAGCCCAGGCUGGCCUCGAACUUUCAGCGAUCCUCCUGCCUCAGCCUCCCAAGCACUAGGACAACAGGUGUGCACGACCAUGCCUGGCAGUUGCACAAUAAUGUGCAAGUAUUUUAUGCUACUGAAAGGUUUGCGUGGAAGAGACCCCGUGAGAAGCUAACACACGUAGGUCCCAACUCCGAGGAACCACGCUGGCACCAGUGUGUGUCUUCCUCUUUCCUAGAACACACUUGAGUCCGUGUGGCCGUGCAUUCUGUUUUAUUGUCCUCUCUUUGCUGAUACACAGCGAGAAAUCCCCUCACCGAAGUCCUCCAGCACGUGGAGAUGACAGCAGAGCUGUCCACUCUACCCAUGGCCCACAUGGACCUCCUCUGCCGGGUGCCCCACUGCUGGAGGCCUCAGCGACUCACAUGAGUGUCCCCACGCAUGUCUCCCAUGUGCACGCCUGCAGGUGCUCCUGGGACCAUGACUCCGAGCUCACAGGGGAAGCCCUUCCUUAGGGUGCCGUGAGCCCUGCAGCUGUGUGACAGUGUCUUCUUCUGCCUGGUGGAUGACCUGCCACGGUGGCCGGAAGGUCCCUGGUGGGGCUGUGUCCUCGAGGAACUCCCGUCUUCUCUGCUUGGCCCUAACCCCCAAGACAGUGGGGUGGGGUCUGGGCGUGGAGCCCUGCAGAAUCCCA